rnacentral:ncRNA from 1 species
AUUGGUCGUCUCCAGUUUUGUCAUUUAUCAUUAUAGGUCAUAUGGGACUUUUUUCUACACAAAAUAGGUUCCAUAAUUCCUACAGUGAAUUGACCCACUACAGAAAUGAUAGAGCC